UGUCCAGGGAUGGGAAUCGAACCCACAGUGUUCCGCUUACCGGGCAGAUACCAUGUCCACUAGGCUACCCUGGC
rnacentral:tRNA from 1 species